UUUUUUUUUUUCACUGAAUGAUAUUGAUAUUAGAUUCGGAAAGGUUACAAUACAUGAGAAAGAAGAGAUUAAACUACGGAGAGACACAAUGCUCGACCCAUAACCUACAAGAGGAAGGAAGAUUUCGAUAAUACAUUGCAAAAAACCAAACUAAUCUUGUCUCAAGACUAACUAAGCUCUUGAAGCUCACCAUAAGGACUUCCCGCACAACAAUCUAUGAAGACGGGUUUCAACACUUAAGGCAAUAACAAGAUAGUGGAACUUGGCCUUCUCGGUAAAAGAUGCAUAUUUCUCAAAUAAUGCCUUGUCACGGGUCUCCCGGAUGAACCGUAAGAUAAUCGAGAACCGCAAGACCUUUCAACGCCACAACUAACAAGUAUUGAAGCCAACCAAAGCUUAAUACUACGGAAUAAACCUCCGAACUGACACAAAGAGCUCAACCCCAAACUAACAUCGAGUAAAUUAGUCGAGGAGGAGAAACUGAAGCCCAAACAAGGGAGACGAUAGCCCAAAAGAGGGGAGCAUUAUAAACGACCCAACACUCCAAAAGCUAAAACUUAAUAAGCGAUUGCAAGAUAUGGGGCUAACGAGAAACAAAGCAAUACAAGAGAGGACAACCGUAGAGACGAAGGAGAUACCAAGUUGUCGAGAGACAGAUCCGAUGUUGCACAGAAUCGCCAAGGGAGAAAAGUAAGCGCCGUCGAGAGGACAAAAGAGAGGUUUUAGAAAACGCCUAACCUCAACGGAGAGAACCACCGGCCAAACCAGAAGCUAUCCGUGACUCCACUUCGUGACACCAGAACGAGAUCGGUGACACCAACAAUCGACCAACAGAUCCAUCAGACUUCUUAUUCAAGCACCCAAAUUAUAACAAAUUAAAAAGACUUUAUUUUUGUUUUGACAUCAGCUCUGACGUAAUUAAUCUCAAACUUAUAUUUGAUGAAUUUAUUUCUUUAGUAUUAGUCCACACAAGACUCUUUCCUAGGCCUGGGCGUUCGGUUUACUCGGGUUAUUCGGUUCGGUUUAAUCGGUUUUUCGGGUUUUUCGGUUUUAUAAAAUUUUGCCGAAUUGAACCGAAUAAUAAUUCGGUUCGGUUUAAUCGGAACUCGGUUUUUUCGGUUCGGUUCUAGGACUAAAAAUCAAUUCCGAAGUAAACCGAAAAUUUUUCUACUUCGGUUUUUUAAAACCGAAUUAGACCAAAAUCAAGAUAAUGGGCUUCGUAAACAGAAAAUUACAAUUACAAACCAAUAAAUAAUGGGCCGAAACAAACAAACCCAAGCCCAAAUUAAAUUACAAUUACAAAUCCAAAUCCAAAAAAAAUUAGGGCUGAUGAAAGCUUGCCGCCGCUACUCUCUUCCUAGCCAACGAGCCGUCGCCGUCGCCGUAGAGAAAUAUUUCUCCGAUGAGAUCUAUCACCAACCAUCAUCAAAACCACAUCGAUUCAAAUCCAUCAUAAAAUUAAGAAAAAAAGGAAAAGAAAAACAAAAACAAAAUUGAAAAUCGUUAGAUCUGAAGACUUACUUUCUGAAAACAAAAUCUGGUCGAAGCUAGUGAUGAACGGCCAACCCAUGUCGAAACUGAACCACGGUAUCGAUGUUGGAGAGUCUAAAAAAGAAGUAAGGAGAAGAAGAAAGAAGUAAGGAGAAGAAGAAAGAGUGGAAAAAGAAGGAUCGUAAAGGAGAGGAGAAGAGAUGAAAUGAAUUAGAUCUAGGGUUUUAUGUUUUUAUACCAUGUUCCCUUAAACCGAAUUAACCGAUCGAUAACCGACUACCGAACCGACCCGAACCGACAUCCGAUUGCCCAAACUAAUUUUGCCGUUCGGUUUGGUCUAAUCUCUUCGGUUUUCGCCGAAAACCGAAAAUCUCGGGUUGAUCGGGUCGGUUUGAUCGGUUUCUGCCGUUUGCCCAGGCCUACUCUUUCCUAGUGAAAUUGAUGGUUUUGUCAUGCUGCUCAAUAA
rnacentral:lncRNA from 1 species